rnacentral:rRNA from 1 species
GUGAGGAAUUUUCCGCAAUGGGCGAAAGCCUGACGGAGCAAUGCCGCGUGAAGGAUGAAGGCCUAUGGGUUGUAAACUUCUUUUCUUAGAGAAGAAUAUUGACGGUAUCUGAGGAAUAAGCAUCGGCUAACUCUGUGCCAGCAGCCGCGGUAAUACGGAGGGUGCGAGCGUUGUCCGGAUUUAUUGGGUUUAAAGGGUGCGUAGGCGGCUGAUUAAGUCAGCGGUGAAAGACUUCGGCUUAACCGGAGCAGUGCCGUUGAUACUGGUUGGCUUGAGUGUCGGAGGGGUACAUGGAAUUGAUGGUGUAGCGGUGAAAUGCAUAGAUACCAUCAGGAACACCGAUAGCGAAGGCAUUGUACUGGCCGACAACUGACGCUGAUGCACGAAAGUGUGGGGAUCGAACAGGAUUAGAAACCCCGGUAGUCC